rnacentral:rRNA from 1 species
CGUGGGCAAUCUGCCCUGCACUCUGGGACAAGCCCUGGAAACGGGGUCUAAUACCGGAUACUGAUCCUCGCGGGCAUCUGCGAGGUUCGAAAGCUCCGGCGGUGCAGGAUGAGCCCGCGGCCUAUCAGCUUGUUGGUGAGGUAAUGGCUCACCAAGGCGACGACGGGUAGCCGGCCUGAGAGGGCGACCGGCCACACUGGGACUGAGACACGGCCCAGACUCCUACGGGAGGCAGCAGUGGGGAAUAUUGCACAAUGGGCGAAAGCCUGAUGCAGCGACGCCGCGUGAGGGAUGACGGCCUUCGGGUUGUAAACCUCUUUCAGCAGGGAAGAAGCGAAAGUGACGGUACCUGCAGAAGAAGCGCCGGCUAACUACGUGCCAGCAGCCGCGGUAAUACGUAGGGCGCAAGCGUUGUCCGGAAUUAUUGGGCGUAAAGAGCUCGUAGGCGGCUUGUCACGUCGGUUGUGAAAGCCCGGGGCUUAACCCCGGGUCUGCAGUCGAUACGGGCA